AGCAUUUGGUGGGAGGCCCUGGACCUAGAAACAAAAAAUGAAAGUGGAGAAAACCAAACAAGAAUCUUUCUUUCUUAAAGUAAACAUCGGACUGACAUCUCCUUUCAAACAUUCAUUGAGGAUCUACUCUGUGAGAAGAAGCAAUACCAUGUUAUCUCAUUCUAGUUCCAGUUCUAGUUGACUUGAUUGUCAAACGACUGCUAAGAAGUAGAGAGGAGGCUUCACCAUGUUUGCCAGGCUAGUCUGGAACUCUUGACCUCAGGUGAUCCACCCACCUCGGCCUCCCAAAGUGCUAGGAUUACAGGC
rnacentral:lncRNA from 1 species